CACUAGUGAUUGGUGUUCUUCCCGAUAUCUACACAUUCCACCGUUACACCGGGAAUUCCAGUCUCCCCUACCGCACUCAAGCCCGCCCGUACCCGGCGCGGAUCCACCGUUAAGCGAUGGACUUUCACACCGGACGCGACGAACCGCCUACGAGCCCUUUACGCCCAAUAAUUCCGGAUAACGCUUGCACCCUACGUAUUACCGCGGCUGCUGGCACGUAGUUAGCCGGUGCUUAUUCGAAAGGUACACUCACCCGAAGGCUUGCUCCCGAUCAAAAGCGGUUUACAACCCGAAGGCCGUCAUCCCGCACGCGGCGUCGCUGCAUCAGGCUUGCGCCCAUUGUGCAAUAUUCCCCACUGCUGCCUCCCGUAGGAGUCUGGGCCGUAUCUCAGUCCCAAUGUGGCCGGUCGCCCUCUCAGGCCGGCUACCCGUCGUAGGCUCGGUGGGCCGUUACCCCGCCGACUACCUGAUAGGACGCGACCCCAUCCCAUACCGAUGAAAUCUUUCCCAGACCACCAUGCGAUGGACUGGAGCAUCCGGCAUUACCACCCGUUUCCCAGG
rnacentral:rRNA from 1 species